UGAGGGAAUAUUUGGGGUCAAUGGACGAGAGUCUGAACCAGCCAAGUAGCGUGCAGGAUGACGGCCCUCCGGGUUGUAAACUGCUUUUAGUUGGGAAUAAAAAAGGCGACGCGUCGCCUAUUGUAUGUACCAUCAGAAAAAGGACCGGCUAAUUCCGUGCCAGCAGCCGCGGUAAUACGGAAGGUCCGGGCGUUAUCCGGAUUUAUUGGGUUUAAAGGGAGCGUAGGCGGAAGAUUAAGUCAGCGGUAAAAUCGUGCGGCUCAACCGUACCUCGCCCG
rnacentral:rRNA from 1 species